UACGUAGGGGGCGAGCGUUGUCCGGAAUCAUUGGGCGUAAAGCGCGUGUAGGCGGCCCGGUAAGUCCGCUGUGAAAGUCCAGGGCUCAACCCUGGGAUGCCGGUGGAUACUGUCGGGCUCGAGUCCGGAAGAGGCGAGUGGAAUUCCUGGUGUAGCGGUGAAAUGCGCAGAUAUCAGGAGGAACACCAAUGGCGAAGGCAGCUCGCUGGGGCGUGACUGACGCUGAGACGCGAAAGCGUGGGGAGCAAACAGG
rnacentral:rRNA from 1 species